rnacentral:rRNA from 1 species
GUGGAUUAGAUACCCUAGUAGUCCACGCCGUAAACGAUGAGUACUAGGUGUUGCGGGUAUUGACCCCUGCAGUGCCGCAGCUAACGCAUUAAGUACUCCGCCUGGGAAGUACGGUCGCAAGACUAAAACUCAAAGGAAUUGACGGGGGCCCGCACAAGCGGUGGAGCAUGUGGUUUAAUUCGACGCAACGCGAAGAACCUUACCUGGGCUUGACAUCUGUGGAACCUUUGUGAAAGCAGAGGGUGCCUUCGGGAGCCACAAGACAGGUGCUGCACGGCCGUCGACAGCU